rnacentral:rRNA from 1 species
CCUACGGGAGGCAGCAGUGGGGAAUUUUGGACAAUGGGCGCAAGCCUGAUCCAGCCAUGCCGCGUGAGUGAAGAAGGCCUUCGGGUUGUAAAGCUCUUUCGGCCGGGAAGAAAUCGUGGUCUCUAACAUAGGCCAUGGAUGACGGUACCGGACUAAGAAGCACCGGCUAACUACGUGCCAGCAGCCGCGGUAA